rnacentral:rRNA from 1 species
UACGUAGGGGGCAAGCGUUGUCCGGAUUUACUGGGCGUAAAGAGCGUGUAGGCGGCCACGCAGGUCCGUUGUGAAAACUGGAGGCUCAACCUCCAGCUGUCGACGGAAACCGUGUGGCUAGAGUCCGGAAGAGGAGAGCGGAAUUCCUGGUGUAGCGGUGAAAUGCGCAGACAUCAGGAAGAACACCAAUGGCGAAGGCAGCUCUCUGGGACGGUACUGACGCUGAGACGCGAAAGCGUGGGGAGCAAACAGG